rnacentral:lncRNA from 1 species
ACAGCAACCUUUCUGUGACGUCACACGCCAGUGCUGUCUUAGCUACACGAGCGGAAUGCACAGUCCCCGACCGUGUUAGUUCUGGAGUGGCUUAUGGGAUGCGGACCCCUCCUUGUCCGCCCCUCCUUAACCAUACCAGGUCCAUUUCUAAUGGCAUUGCUUUUCCCCUACAUUAUUUUCAAUAGGAUAUUUUGGUUCUUCUGUGGAAUACUAUGGUAAAAAUGAAAAGAAAAUUUUUCUUAUUCCAGUAAGGACAAAUGGGGACAAGUCAGGAGCCUCAGAAAAUCUCAAUAGGAGAGAAACUCCAGUUUUCAAUUCCUGGAUGCCUAUCUGAGAUUUCAGCUCUUGCCUCACAUAGUUACAAGGAGGAAUGCUUUGUGGGGACACCAAUCUGAGCUAAGGCCUCUUGGAAGCACAUGGCCCGAUGGAGGAGGGACUGCGAGCUGCGGCUGGGAAUUGCUGACAUGAAUUACUGCUGCGUAUUCCAAAAGUCCGCUGAACCAAUGGGGAGCCAGGCGCUGGAGAGAGGGUCUGUCGUCUUCCUCACAACGUUUCUAAAUCUACAGAUGGCGAUGAGGAAGUGAUUAAUGGAGCGCCCUCCACACAGCUGACCACUUCAUUGGUCAAUAAGGGUCUGAAACAUCACAGGAAUAAACUGAAAACAUGCGGCUUUAACUCAGAUGUUCGUGGGACUCCUGACAUUGCAGGUUAUAGGCUGCAUGAAUUGCCUCAGCUUCUGACAGCUGCAUCUCAAGACGACACCCCUACCCAGAGCAGCCCACAUCCAAUGAUGGAUCAAGCCAGGGUAUGGAGACUUGGCCAUCUCAGCCCAAAUUAGGACCACUCUGGAAAGGCUUCUGGCUCCAGAGAUCCCUAUGGGUUGGCCAAAGCUGUACGUGAGCUGUGCCGCAGCUCCACUUUUCCCUCUGCCCACGUUUGCUUUGGGCGCCUCUCUUCCACAAGUGUUGGUCUCAAGGACACUGCUGUAUAAACAUCCUGCACGCUAAACGCCACUUCAGAGUCCACUUUCCAGGGAACCCAGCCUACAGAGAAAUGGUGCCAGUUCUCUGCUCUGUGCUAGUUAUACCACACUUGCAGAGCUGCCUUCAGAGUUUGGGUAGAGAUUCUGUUCAAUCUACAAAGCUUUCUAUUAGACAAAGCUGCCUGAAAUGACAUAGGCAUCCUGUGAAGGGGAGGAGAUCCUCAAAGAGGAGAUGUUCAAAGAAAAACAGACUAUUGGAAAGAUGAGGGAUGUGCAAAGGGGUGAAAUCAAGAAUGCUAAGGGUGGAUGGGCUGGAUGUCCUCCAGGGUCCCUUCCUGCAUCAAGACCUUAUUAUCUGUAUUAGUUUGCUAGAGUUGCCAUAACAAGAUACCACAGCCUAGGUGGUUUAAACAACAGAAAUGUAUUUUCUCACAGUUCUGGAUGUGAGAAGUCCAAGAUCAAGGUCUCAGCAGCUUUGGUUUCUUCUGAGGCCUCUCUCCUAAGUUUGCAGAUGACUGCUUUUCUUCCUGUCUUCAGAUAGUCGUCCCUCUGUGUCUGUUUGUGUCCUAAUUUCCUCUUCUUAUAAGGACACUACUCAUAAUGGAUUAGAGCCCACCCAUAUGACCUCCUUUUACCUUAAUUACCUCUUUAAAGGCCCCAUCUCCAAAUACAGUCACAUUCUGAGGUGCUGGGAGUUAGGACUUCAACAUACGAAUUUUGAGGGGGCCACAAUUCCGCACAUAACAGUAUCCCAAGGUUUUAUUGUGUCCCAGAUGUAUAGCACUGUUUAGCACACGUUCAGCCCAGUGUUAUUAUAAAAGAUCAAAUUCAGUAUUUAACUACAGAAGCCAGAGUUAGCCAAGGUUAUGUUUGAAGGAGCAAUCAUACAGUUACAGAUUUUUAACUGCCAAGUAAGUACCCAGUUAGUGGCCUCUUAAAAUAGUGCUGUCUUCCUGAGUCUAGUAGCUAUGAAUAUCAUUAUAUGCACUCAACUUAAUCCAGGUAAUCCUAAUGUUGGCCAGGGUAGUCAGAGCACACACACAUAUUUACACAAAGGUGUGUUCACACACAAACAUGGACUCCAUACCCAAGAGACAAAGGGGGUUUCUAGAGAUAAUGGGAUAACUGAGUUUUCUGGGGAUACUAUCCGAGUACAGAAAGAAAAAGGUUACUACAGAAAGAAAAGAAACUUUACCUCUUGUAUUCACUGAGUAUUCAUUUAUUCAUCCAUUCAAACAAUAUCCAUUUGAGUUCCAAUUUACAUGGAAAACAUUGUGCUAAUGGAUUUGGGAAAAACCACCUUGUAAAAAUCAAAAUCCCACCCCCAGAGGAAAGCUUUGGUAAGACAAGCUGUGCUGCAGUAAUGACGAUGCCAUAAAGCGUGGGCUUUUUGUCCUCACAAGGACUGGGCUCAAGGUCCAGCUCCAUCCUGUGUCAGCUGGGUGACCUUUGGCAAGUCACUCAACCUCUCUAAGUGUCAGUUUCCUCAUUUGUGCAGUGAGGGUAAUCAUGACACUUACCCUCCAGUUAGAUUGCAGCCCUUAAGCAGCCUCCUAUGUAGAAAUCCUUGAGUUGGCUCAUACACUGUGAAAAUUAAAAGAGGCUGUGCAUGCAACAUGCUUUCUCAGGCACAUGCCCAGUAAAUGCUAAUCAGUAAGUAUCAUAAAGGUAGAGUGACCAAGUCAUCCCGCCUCCCACCCCCUACUUUCCGGAACACCCCUUAGUGCCAGACAAACCUACUAAGGAUGUCAAAGGAUGUUAUGUGUAAGUGACGUGAGGAUUCAGAGGGAGAAAGUGCCAGUUUUAAUUUGUUUAAGAAUGAGGAAUGGCUUUGUGAAAGGUAAAAGAUUUAAUCUGGUCCCUGAAGCAUGGCAAAUCCAAGCGGAAAGAAUGACAUAGACAAAGAAAUGCAGAUCAGGAAGAGUAAGGCAUAUUUAUAUAAUGGGUAAGUGCCCCCCAUCAGGAUGGAAAGUGGGAAUCUUUGCUGGGGUGCAGUGGAAGUUAAGGUAAGGAGGGAAGAUUGGAGCUAAAAUCCAAAGCAUUCAUAUUAGAUAGGCUGAGGAGGUUGAAGUUGGUACUCUGCAGCAGUGAGGAGCUACUGAAAAGUUUUAAGCUGAUCAGGGAGAUGAUCAGAAGUGCUUGAAGGAGAUGGCUCAGGUAACAGCCUUCAGUAACCCUUGGGAGUGUGGGCUGAAGUGGAGCAGGGAGAGGUUAGGGGAAGGAGGCCAGUACAGAAGAGGCUGAUGAAAUUGUCCAGAGGAGAGAGGAUGAGGACCCGAGCUCAGGCAGUGGCCUUGAGGCCGGCAAGAGGGCUGCAGAUGAGCAGACACAGCAGGAAGAUGUUCCCCUGUGGGGUUUGGCAGACAAUUGGCAGCAGAGACCAAGAGCAGAAAACGAAUCAAAUAUAUCCUGGCCACUGUGCCGCAAACAGAAGUAGAGAGACGAGGAAGAGGGCAACUUUGAAGAAUCUGACAUCAGAGUUGUUGACAGGAAUUGUUGAGGUGGCCAGACACCUGGAAGGAGGGUUGUUCAGCAGAUGUGGAAAUUGUCAGGUCUCAGGAUUGGGUCCCUGGCUAGAGAUAUGGACUUGGGAGCCAGUCCCAGAGAUGUGGGCCCCACAGUGGGACAGAGGUGGAGACUGCUGUGGGGGAGGGCACGGGGGUGUAUGUAGUCAGAGCAGGGAUGUAGAGGGUGAAGGAAAAGCCAGAGACUGAAGAGAGGACACACGCUUAUCAUUCAUUCACCCACACAGAUGUGGGGUGUAUUGAAGUCUGCCUUAACAGUCCCGAAGCUCAAGCUCACUGUGGGAGGCUGACGGUGGAGAGCCCACUAGAGGGCCGUGGGGGCCCAGGGCAGGAUGUCUACGCUCAGGGCUCCAGGCCACGUGGAGCAGAGAGCCUCAAGAGGUCAACAAAUAAAACAAAUCAAGAGACAAGGAGAACCAGCACUGAAAAAGAGUUUUCGAUUAAGGAGACUGUGAGAUUAGAAGUCAGAUUACAAGAGAUAAAGAAAAAAACAGUUGGUGGAAAUAUAGGGACAAAAGUAGAUUAGCAGCUAUUUUUUAAAAUGAUAAUAUCCACUUUGGGCAGGAGGUCGUGAGGGGGUGCUCAGAAAGGCAAACACGCAGCUGGGGGAAGAUGAAGUUGUGCAAAUCUUCUGGGUAAUAAUUUGAUAAAAUAUCAAAAGACUUAAAAAUGUUCAUAUACCCCUGACCUGGUAAUGAUACUUCUAGGAAUUUAUUCCAAUGAAUAAUGAAAUAUUUAUGAUAUUUAUGAUGGUGGAAAGUAGAAAACAUUAAAUAUCUAAUAAAGAUUGGUUAAAUACAACCAUUUAGAGAGAAUACUAU